UAGGGAAUCUUCGGCAAUGGACGAAAGUCUGACCGAGCAACGCCGCGUGAGUGAAGAAGGUUUUCGGAUCGUAAAACUCUGUUGUUAGAGAAGAACAAGGACGUUAGUAACUGAACGUCCCCUGACGGUAUCUAACCAGAAAGCCACGGCUAACUACGUGCCAGCAGCCGCGGUAAUACGUAGGUGGCAAGCGUUGUCCGGAUUUAUUGGGCGUAAAGCGAGCGCAGGCGGUUUCUUAAGUCUGAUGUGAAAGCCCCCGGCUCAACCGGGGAGGGUCAGUGGAGACUGGGGGAGUUGAGUGCAGAGGAGGAGGGUGGAAUUCCAUGUGUGGCGGUGGAAUGCGUAGAUAUAUGGAGGAACACCAGUGGCGAAGGCGGCUCUCUGGUCUGUAACUGACGGUGGGGCGCGAAAGCGUGGGGAGCAAACGGG
rnacentral:rRNA from 1 species